rnacentral:rRNA from 1 species
CACUGUCACUCCUACGGGAGGCAGCAGUGGGGAAUCUUGGACAAUGGGCGCAAGCCUGAUCCAGCCAUGCCGCGUGAGUGAUGAAGGCCCUAGGGUCGUAAAGCUCUUUCGCCAGGGAUGAUAAUGACAGUACCUGGUAAAGAAACCCCCGGCUAACUCCGUGCCAGCAGCCGCGGUAAUACGGAGGGGGUUAGCGUUGUUCGGAAUUACUGGGGCGUAAAGCGCGCGUAGGCGGACUGGAAAGUUGGGGUGAAAUCCCCGGGGCUCAACCCGGAACUGCCUCCAAAACUCCCAGUCUUGAGUUCGAGAGAGGUGAGUGGAAUUCCGAGUGUAGAGGUGAAAUUCGUAGAUAUUCGGAGGAACACCAGUGGCGAAGGCGGCUCACUGGCUCGAUACUGACGCUGAGGUGCGAAAGUGUGGGGAGCAAACAGGAUUAGAUACCCUGGUAG